rnacentral:misc_RNA from 1 species
AAGUCGUAACAAGGUUUCCGUAGGUGAACCUGCGGAAGGAUCAUUAUUGAGAUAGUCAGAAGCCUAUUAGGUCACCCAAACGCUUGAAAUAUUAGCGGAAUGGGCAGUAAUACAAUCGGCAUGACCGUUUGAAUCCAAGGGCAGCUAUCCACCCGUGUAUAUAUACUCUGUUGCUUGCGCGUCUCAUCAGCGCACGACGGAAGAACCCAACUUCUUUGGAAAUUUUAUGGAACGUCUGAGUACUAUAUAAUAGUUAAAA